rnacentral:rRNA from 1 species
AUUGAACGCUGGCGGCAUGCUUUACACAUGCAAGUCGAACGGUAACAGGCCGCAAGGUGCUGACGAGUGGCGAACGGGUGAGUAAUGUAUCGGAACGUGCCCAGUCGUGGGGGAUAACGCAGCGAAAGCUGCGCUAAUACCGCAUACGACCUAUGGAUGAAAGCGGGGGACCGUAAGGCCUCGCGCGAUUGGAGCGGCCGAUAUCAGAUUAGGUAGUUGGUGGGGUAAAGGCUCACCAAGCCAACGAUCUGUAGCUGGUCUGAGAGGACGACCAGCCACACUGGGACUGAGACACGACCCAGACUCCUACGGGAGGCAGCAGUGGGGAAUUUUGGACAAUGGGCGCAAGCCUGAUCCAGCAAUGCCGCGUGCAGGAAGAAGGCCUUCGGGUUGUAAACUGCUUUUGUACGGAACGAAACGGUCCUGGUUAAUACCUGGGGCUAAUGACGGUACCGUAAGAAUAAGCACCGGCUA